rnacentral:rRNA from 1 species
UACGUAGGGUGCAAGCGUUGUCCGGAAUUAUUGGGCGUAAAGAGCUCGGAGGUGGUCUAUCACGUCGGAUGUGAAACCCUGAGGCUCAACCUCAGGCCUGCAUUCGAUACGGGCAGACUAGAGUGUGGUAGGGGAGACUGGAAUUCCUGGUGUAGCGGUGAAAUGCGCAGAUAUCAGGAGGAACACCGGUGGCGAAGGCGGGUCUCUGGGCCAUUUCUGACACUGAGGAGCGAAAGCGUUGCGAGCAAACAGG